AUUGAACGCUGGCGGCAGGCUUAACACAUGCAAGUCGAGCGAGCGGCGGACGGGUGUGUAAUGUCUGGGAAACUGCCUGAUGGAGGGGGAUAACUACUGGAAACGGUAGCUAAUACCGCUUACCAUCAGAUGUUCCCAUAUGGUAUUAGCUAGUAGGUGGGGUAAUGGCUCACCUAGGCGCAGAUCCCUAGCUGGUCUGAGAGGAUGACCGGCCACACUGGAACUGAGACACGGUCCAGACUACUACGGGAGGCAGCAGUGGGGAAUAUUGCACAAUGGGCGCAAGCCUGAUGCAGCCAUGCCGCGUGUGUGAAGAAGGCCUUCGGGUUGUAAAGCACUUUCAGCGAGGAGGCGUUACUCGAAGAAGAAGCACCGGCUAACUCCGUGCCAGCAGCCGCGGUAAUAC
rnacentral:rRNA from 1 species